UACGUAGGGUGCGAGCGUUAAUCGGAAUUACUGGGCGUAAAGCGUGCGCAGGCGGCUUUGCAAGACAGAUGUGAAAUCCCCGGGCUUAACCUGGGAACUGCAUUUGUGACUGCAUGGCUGGAGUGCGGCAGAGGGAGAUGGAAUUCCGCGUGUAGCAGUGAAAUGCGUAGAUAUGCGGAGGAACACCGAUGGCGAAGGCAAUCCCCUGGGCCUGCACUGACGCUCAUGCACGAAAGCGUGGGGAGCGAACAGG
rnacentral:rRNA from 1 species